AUUGUAAUUUUAAGAAUUGCCUUGAAUAAAUCACAUGACUCAUAUUCAACAUUAAAAUCUUUUUCUCUUCUUUUUUUGUUGUGUGUGCGGGAGAGAGGGGUAGCAAACUACCGGUUUUGCUCAUUGUUUUUAGGGCAUGAACUCGGCUACAAAUAUAAAACUAUUAGGCUUUGAACUUUAAAUAUCAUAGUACUAAUCAUCAAGCUCAUAGGCAACUGCGAGAGAUACGAUUAAUUACAAACCAGUUUUAUUA
rnacentral:lncRNA from 1 species